AUACGGAGGGUGCAAGCGUUACUCGGAAUCACUGGGCGUAAAGCGCGCGCAGGCGGCUUGAUAAGUUGGAUGUGAGAGCCUACGGCUCAACCGUAGAACUGCAUCCAAAACUGUCAAGCUAGAGUCUGGGAGGGGAAGAUGGAAUUAGUUGUGUAGGGGUAAAAUCCGUAGAGAUAUCUAGGAAUACCAAAAGCGAAGGCGAUCUUCUGGAACAGUACUGACGCUGAGGCGCGAAAGCGUGGGGAGCAAACAGGAUUAGAAACCCCAGUAGUCC
rnacentral:rRNA from 1 species